rnacentral:rRNA from 1 species
UACGGGGGGUGCAAGCGUUAAUCGGAAUUACUGGGCGUAAAGGGUGAGUAGGUUGUUUACUAAGUUAUCUGUGAAAGACCAGGGCUCAACCCUGGGGUGUCAGAUAAGACUGGUAGACUUGAGUAUAGGAGAGGGUAGUGGAAUUUCCGGUGUAGCGGUGAAAUGCGUAGAGAUCGGAAGGAACACCAGUGGCGAAGGCGGCUAUCUGGCCUAAUACUGACACUGAGUCACGAAAGCGUGGGGAGCAAACAGG